UAAAGUUGUCCAAAUGAAGUCCUUAGCAAUGCAUAUUAAUAAUUAAUUAAAUAUUAAGUUUUAAUAUAUUUACAGAAGGAAUUUACAAAAUAUUUUCAUGGAACAUGAUCUUUGUUUAAUAUCCUAAUGAUUUUAGCAUAAAAGAAAAAUCAAUAAUUUUGAUCAUUGAAAUAUAUUUUUGGCUAUUGCUACAAAUAUAUCCCAGGAACUUGAGACUGUUUUUUUGGUCUAGGGUCACAUAUGGUAGGUCAAAACCAUACCUUACCUGAUUUCUUUUCGAUUUAUAGGCAGUGUCACGUCUUCUCAGGCCUUCAGUGUUUGAGGCAUUUCUAGAAGCUGUGAGGGGAAUGGGUGAUUUCUGCUCCGAUGCCCAGCUCAGAGACAUGGACCUCCUCUCUCAAUCAGUCAGAGCCCAGUGGGAGGUAUGUGCCACAGCAGCUGAGCGUUCAGUGCAUCUGGAAGCCUUGAGAAGAAUUGCAGAGAGUCUGCAGCCCACAGAGAGUGUUCUUCUCAGCACCAGCCAUCAGAGAACAGACACAGAGAGGGCGGAGAACGUUCAACGCCACACAGACUCCACAAGUGACUGCGCACCAUGCCAGGAUGGGUACAUAAGAAACUGAGUGGAAAUGUUGGGGUUACAUAAUGGAAAAAUCUGUUAUAUUAAAUUAAAAAUAUAUAUUCUGAUACAAAUAUAUAUUCUGAUUUAAAUUUUUUUUAAAUUUUUUUUAAGUACUUCUAGUACACUACUAUUCAAAAGACUGAGGUCAGAAGAAAAAAUAUUUUGAAAGAAAUUAAUGCUUUUAUUAAUCAAGAAUACAUUAAAUGGAUUUAAAGUGAAAGUAAAUAUAGGAUAAUAGUGGGAAAAAUCUAUUUCAAAUAAAUGGUGUUUUAAGUAG
rnacentral:lncRNA from 1 species